rnacentral:rRNA from 1 species
GACGAACGCUGGCGGCGUGCUUAACACAUGCAAGUCGAACGGAAAGGCCCUGCUUUUGUGGGGUGCUCGAGUGGCGAACGGGUGAGUAACACGUGAGUAACCUGCCCUUGACUUUGGGAUAACUUCAGGAAACUGGGGCUAAUACCGGAUAGGAGCUCCUGCUGCACGGUGGGGGUUGGAAAGUUUCGGCGGUUGGGGAUGGACUCGCGGGGUAUCAGCUUGUUGGUGAGGUAGUGGGUUACCAAGGCUUUGACGGGUAGCCGGCCUGAGAGGGGGACCGGCGACACGGGAACGGAGACACGGUCCAGGGUACUAAGGGAGGCAGCAGUAGGGAACGGGCCGCAAUGGGCGAAAGUCUGACGGAGCAACGCCGCGUGAGUGAUGAAGGCCCUCGGAUCGUAAAACUCGGUUAUGGGGGAAGAACAAAUGUGUAAGGAAAUAUGCACGGCGUGACGGUAAUGAAUAAGAAAGCCACGGCUAACUACGUG